rnacentral:rRNA from 1 species
GACGUAGGAGGCGAGCGUUGUCCGGAUUCAUUGGGCGUAAAGAGCACGCAGGCGGCUUGGCAAGUCGGGUGUGAAAUCCCCGGGGCUCAACCCCGUGACUGCAUCCGAUACUGUCAGGCUAGAGGUAGGUAGGGGAGAUCGGAAUUCCUGGUGUAGCGGUGAAAUGCGCAGAUAUCAGGAGGAACACCGGUGGCGAAGGCGGAUCUCUGGGCCUUACCUGACGCUCAGGCGCGAAAGCUAGGGGGAGCGAACAGG